rnacentral:rRNA from 1 species
UACAGAGGUCCCAAGCGUUGUUCGGAUUCACUGGGCGUAAAGGGUGCGUAGGCGGUCGGGUAAGUCUGAUGUGAAAUCUCACAGCUUAACUGUGAAACUGCAUUGGAUACUAUCCGGCUAGAGGAAUGGAGGGGAGACUGGAAUACUUGGUGUAGCAGUGAAAUGCGUAGAUAUCAAGUGGAGCACCAGUGGCGAAGGCGAGUCUCUGGACAUUUCCUGACGCUGAGGCACGAAAGCCAGGGGAGCAAACAGG